AAGGCCGUCCUCAAGGCCGUCCCCAAGGCCAUCACCGUCCACGCACCGGGCCGGCGCAAGGCCACCAAGGCCACCAGGGCCCCGGCGGCCACCACUGGCGGCAGAGCGCGCCAACGAGGAGGCCCGGGCACAGGUCUGCGACCGCGGCCACGCGCGACUGAAGUCUCUGAAGCCUCUGGCGGGGAGCCCCCUCCAGACAAAGCCGUCCAGCAGCAAAUGGGUGACGAGGGGCUUUCUCCGCGAGGGGCGUGGCGGGCGCGGCGCGGGGCCUUGUCAACGAAAACAACUUGCCGGGGGGAUGACCCGACGCUUUCGCCCCCCGCCUGAUGAGGGCGGUGGAAUUAUUCAUCGUGUCGGAAAUAAAAGCGGGCUGCGCGCAGGACGAGGGCAAA